rnacentral:rRNA from 1 species
CCUACGGGGUGCAGCAGUAGGGAAUCUUCCACAAUGGGCGAAAGCCUGAUGGAGCAACGCCGCGUGGGUGAAGAAGGUCUUCGGAUCGUAAAACCCUGUUGUUAGAGAAGAAAGUGCGUGAGAGUAACUGUUCACGUUUCGACGGUAUCUAAACAGAAAGCCACGGCGAACUACGUGCCAGCAGCCGCGGUAAUACGUAGGUGGCAAGCGUUAUCCGGAUUUAUUGGGCGUAAAGGGAACGCAGGCGGUCCUUUAAGUCUGAUGUGAAAGCCUUCGGCUUAACCGGAGUAGUGCAUUGGAAACUGGGAGACGUGAGUGCAGAAGAGGAGAGUGGAACUCCAUGUGUAGCGGUGAAAUGCGUAGAUAUAUGGAAGAACACCAGUGGCGAAAGCGGCUCUCUGGUCUGUAACUGACGCUGAGGUUCGAAAGCGUGGGUAGCAAACAGGAUUAGAUACCCCAGUAGUC